GGGAGAUCGAAAGCUGCUACGGCAGGACAAGAAUUUAAUAAUACGUGUGAACAUAGUGUCCAUGAUGGUAUCGUAUACAAUCAAUGGUGCCCUGCUAGGCAUGAUCCUACCAGUCCAUGUGUGCGAUUUUGAACGCGUCACAGUCACCACUCUCCAUGUGACUCUUAUCAUGUCUGGGAAGGCCGAGAUAAAACUCCAUGGUGUGAAUUUACUUCCUGCUUGAGAACGGUUAAACUGUGGAGCAGACUAAUAGAUAAACAUUGAGGU